UACGGGGGGGGCAAGCGUUGUUCGGAAUUACUGGGCGUAAAGGGCGCGUAGGCGGAUAGUUUAGUUGGGGGUGAAAGCCCGGGGCUCAACCUCGGAAUUGCCUUCAAUACUGGCUGUCUUGAGUGUGAGAGAGGUGUGUGGAACUCCGAGUGUAGAGGUGAAAUUCGUAGAUAUUCGGAAGAACACCAGUGGCGAAGGCGACACACUGGCUCACUACUGACGCUGAGGCGCGAAAGCGUGGGGAGCAAACAGG
rnacentral:rRNA from 1 species